GGGGAUUUAGCUCAGUGGUGUAAGCGCCUGCAUUGCAAGCAGGCAGCCAUGAGUUCGAUCCCCG
rnacentral:tRNA from 1 species